rnacentral:rRNA from 1 species
UACAGAGGUGGCAAGCGUUGUUCGGAAUUACUGGGCGUAAAGGGCGCGUAGGCGGCCUUCUAAGUCAGACGUGAAAUCCCCCGGCUUGACCUGGGAACUGCGUCUGAUACUGGGAGGCUUGAGUAUGGGAGAGGGAUGUAGAAUUCCAGGUGUAGCGGUGAAAUGCGUAGAUAUCUGGAGGAAUACCGGUGGCGAAGGCGGCAUCCUGGACCAUAACUGACGCUGAGGCGCGAAAGCUAGGGGAGCAAACGGG